rnacentral:tRNA from 1 species
UAGCCUAGUGGUUAAGGCUGUGGAUCGCCAAUCCGGAGACGGCGGGUUUGAUUCCCGU